rnacentral:rRNA from 1 species
UUCUGUGGGGACGGAGCGGCCGGCCGCAACUUGCGGUUCGAGCUAGCGCUUUCCCUACAUCCUGCCGCGAACCGUGCUACCAUUAGUUUGGUGGCGCCGGGGAUCGGCUCGUUUACUUUGAGAAAAAUAGAGUGUUCAAAGCAGGCCACACGCCUUGAAUAAGUUAGCAUGGAAUAAUAAUAAAGGACUUCGGUUCUAUUUUGUUGGUGUUCGGGACUGAAGUAAUGAUUGAUAGGGACAGUUGGGGCGGUCAGUAUUCCAAAGCGAGAGGUGAAAUUCUUAGACCUUCGGAAGACUAACAGCUGCGAAAGCGUUCCGCAAGGAUGUUCCCUUUGAUCAAGAACGAAAGUUGGGGGAUCGAAGACGAUCAGAUACCGUCGUAGUCUCAACUAUAAACUAUACCAGCUAGGGAUCGGCCAACGUUAAAUUAUUCGACUUGGUCGGCACCUUAUGAGAAAUCAAAGCAUCUGGGUUCCGGGGGGAGUAUGGUCGCAAGGCUGAAACUUAAAGGAAUUGACGGAAGGGCACCACCAGCCGUGGAGCCUGUGGCUUAAUUUGACUCAACACGGGAAAACUUACCAGGUCCAGACAUAGUAAGGAUUGACAGAUUGAUAGCUCUUUCUUGAUUCUGUGGGUGGUGGUGCAUGGCCGUUCUUAGUUGGUGGAGUGAUUUGUCUGGUUAAUUCCGUUAACGAACGAGACCCCAGCCUGCUAAAUAGCGUGGUUGAGCUUUGCUCGGCGCAAGCUUCUUAGAGGGACUAUGAUGCGCGAUAGCACAUGGAAGUUUGGGGCAAUAACAGGUCUGUGAUGCCCUUAGAUGUUCUGGGCCGCACACGGGCUACACUGGCGCCUGCAACGAGCAUAUCAGCUGGCCCGAGAGGGUCUUGGCUAAUCUUUUGAACCGGCGCCGUGCUUGGGAUUGACCAUUGCAAUUGUUGGUCAUGCAACGAGGAAUGCCUUGUAAACGCGAGUCAUCAACUCGCAUUGAAUACGUCCCCGCCCUUUGUACACACCGCCCGUCGCUCUACCGAUGAAUG